AGUAGGUGUGAAUGUCCACAGACAUUUAUCAAUAGAUAGGCAUUUUUUCCUACUGUGUGAAGUAAACAAACAAGGGUCCAGCUCAGUUAAAAAGAAAAAAUGCCUUACAGCCAGCAUCUCUGCUCCAGAGGAGAAGUGUUCUGACUCCAUGUGAACUCAACAGCCCCACCAG
rnacentral:lncRNA from 1 species